CCUACGGGUGGCUGCAGUGGGGAAUUUUGGACAAUGGGCGCAAGCCUGAUCCAGCUAUUCCGCGUGUGGGAUGAAGGCCCUCGGGUUGUAAACCACUUUUGUAGAGAACGAAAAGACACCUUUUAAUAAAGGGUGUUGCUGACGGUACUCUAAGAAUAAGCACCGGCUAACUACGUGCCAGCAGCCGCGGUAAUACGUAGGGUGCGAGCGUUAAUCGGAAUUACGGGGCGUAAAGGGUGUGCAGGCGGCUGAGUAAGACAGAUGUGAAAUCCCCGGGCUUAACCUGGGAACCGCAUAUGUGACUGCUUGGCUAGAGUGCGUCAGAGGGAGGUGGAAUUCCACGUGUAGCAGUGAAAUGCGUAGAUAUGUGGAAGAACACCGAUGGCGAAGGCAGCCUCCUGGGACGCAACUGACGCUCAUACACGAAAGCGUGGGGAGCAAACAGGAUUAGAUACCCGAGUAGUC
rnacentral:rRNA from 1 species